AAGGGUGGAGCUCAGUGGUGGAGCCCGUGCCUCCCAUGCAUGGGGUCCUGGGCUCAAUCCCCAGUACCUCCG
rnacentral:tRNA from 1 species